rnacentral:rRNA from 1 species
AACGAACGCUGGCGGCAUGCCUAACACAUGCAAGUCGAACGAGACCUUCGGGUCUAGUGGCGCACGGGUGCGUAACGCGUGGGAACCUGCCUUUAGGUUCGGAAUAACUCAGAGAAAUUUGAGCUAAUACCGGAUAAUGUCUUCGGACCAAAGAUUUAUCGCCUUUAGAUGGGCCCGCGUUGGAUUAGCUAGUUGGUGGGGUAAAGCCUACCAAGGCGACGAUCCAUAGCUGGUCUGAGAGGAUGAUCAGCCACACUGGGACUGAGACACGGCCCAGACUCCUACGGGAGGCAGCAGUGGGGAAUAUUGGACAAUGGGCGAAAGCCUGAUCCAGCAAUGCCGCGUGAGUGAUGAAGGCCUUAGGGUUGUAAAGCUCUUUUACCCGAGAUGAUAAUGACAGUAUCGGGAGAAUAAGCUCCGGCU